UGAUCGCCAUUGUCAGUAUCAUUCGUGCAGAAUGUGGAUGACUGGAUGACUUCGCAGUUAAAAAAAAAAUGCAUCACAACUUCAUGGACGACGGGAAGACAGUCUGAAUUACUAGAUAUUAGAGAAUCGGGAGUCAAAGAUCCCGACAGUUCAGCACUUCCUCUCACCCUGAACACUGCACCCAUCACACCAAGCCCACCGCUGCACCCUCUCCCAUCCCUCCCAUUAGUACCCGAAAAUAGUGCUCCCUGCCUCUCUUCCCUAUUAACUCCAUUCCAGAGAGGUGCUCCACACUCUCUGCCUCAGGCACCAUCGUGGUCUGGAACAGCAUCUUUCACCUGUUCUGAGAGGAAGCCGUGAACCCAGGGUAAUGCACCUGGUGAUUGACUCAUCCCGGCAGUCUUCACCUGCCUCGCAGAUUACACUUGGUCUUCACUCUUCGUGUGUUAUUCUGCGUAUUGUUUUGAGUGAAGAGAGAAAAGUGGACACUGAAAAAUAAUUAUUCACGUGACAUAAUUUUACAAGCAUACAUUUGUAAAAGUAUAUCGGAUCUGUGUCAUCUGUUGUAAUUGGUCGGCAUGGGAGGGUAGACCUAUGGGGUUGUGUGUAGUGUAUGAGGCCGGGGUAGAGGUGGCUAUGACCCUGCACUUAUCACUCACUGUUGCUGGAGCCUCGCCUCACUCCCCUCAUGGGCUGCCUGCUCAGCGUCUCAAGCAACACUUGCGUCAACGUGGUGGACCUGGCAGCUGUAGGAGGUCUCGGAGAUGUCUCCCUCCACAGGAAGAAGCGAGCUAGCCUCCUCUCCGCUAGCCGCUACUCUUCCCUCUUCUCUACCAAGAGAGGCAACAAAGAUGGGGGGCAGCAGUCCCCUGCUGCCCCUAGGCGGCCAGGGUUACUCGUCGCUGAUGCUCUGAGGAACCUACAGAGGGCACAUUCCUUCAGACACGGAGAAUGUUACCUCUGUAAUUACAAAAAUAAGUCGUGUAAUGGCGUGUGUAUCCAUCGCGAGAUCUUCACAUCGGUUAAGCCUGGGUACUACUCCAGUUAUUACACCCGAGAUUCCCAUAAUGGAGGGAAGAGAGGUGGCACCCUCAGGAAGUCAUUCAAAACUCUCCCAUCAUCCAGGGAGAGCGACGUCUUCAGUAUAGACUCUCUCUCUAAAGGUACCGUCCUUAGACGAACCAUACAAAGAGGUUCGUCCGGGUCUUUCAAAGCUAAAAACAGAAAGUCUAUGAGGUCUAUCACUGCCUUUCCUUCGGAUGCGCCGCCUCCCGAGUUGGGCAUCAAGCCACAGGUCUCGUAUAGACUCGCAAGGCGCAGUCUUGGAAACGAGAUGUACGAAGCCUCUGUUACCAGCUACGAGGAGAAUGAAGCGCUGGCUACUCUGCAGGACAUCAUAUAUGCUAACAGCAUCCACGAUUCGCCUUAUCCAUCCAGUGCUGAAAAUACUGAAGAUGAUAACGCUUAUGAAUCGAUAAGACCACCUUUGCCGAAGAAGAACCGGAGUAGACCUGAUGAUGAUCCUGAAACAUAUUAUGACCUCUCGGUUUCAGUGUCCCAGCGGAAAGGAACACUUACUGCUAGUGAUUUCGGUCUCUUAAAGGGUUCCAAGGACAGCCCCCCGCUCCUGAAACCACUGCCAUCCAAACCUACCUACCUUCAAGAGCCCACCUUCUCCAAUGACCGAACAAACUUGGUCCCAUCAACAGCAAAUGAGGGCAAGGAGAGUCAGUACCCUCUUGGUUAUGAAAUUUGUAAUGCUCAGAAUUGCCGUAGCGAGGAUGGAGGAUGUGUCAACACCUUGGAUGGUAACUUGCACACGAAGGGGAACUAUGUUUUGGAGAAGGGUUGUGGCAGCAUCUCUGACAGCGACGAAUACGAGUGUGCCAGAUAUCACAGACAAGGGCCAUAUGACGUCCCAGCGUCGAAGACACUCCAGAUGACCGUCAAGGAGAAGAUUGUAGUGAUGGAGAGUGCCAACUCACAGAUGGACAACUCGGUGACACCCGUGUAUUUGGCUGCUCAAGAGGGCCAUCUGGAUGUGCUUCAGUAUCUGGUUAGCACCGCAGGGGGUCGUCUCGACCUCAGGGCCAAGGAUGGCAUGGCACCCAUCCACGCCGCGGCUCAGAUGGGAUGUCUCAACUGCCUCAAGUGGAUGGUGGCGGAGCAGGGGGUGGACAUCAACUUGCGCGACAGUGACGGUGCUUCUCCCCUACAUUUCGCUGCCUCUCGUGGACACACAGACACUGUCCGCUGGCUCCUCAAGAAGGGAGCCACCAUCAGCCUGGAUAAAUUUGGAAAAAGCCCCAUCAACGACGCCGCCGAUAACGAUCAUAUGGAGGCGUUGCAGCUGCUGGUCCAGCAUGGCACUGCCCCCGACUAUGUGACCGACUCCGACUCCACGGACUCCGGCUCCCACCACCUGCAGUGUACCUGCCACCAGGGUCUACGAGCUAGCAGGAAGGGCUCCGAGUGUUCCCUGACCGGGUCUGACACAUGUACGUCCUCCUCCUGUGAGAGUGAUUGCCACAGCUCUGCCAGCAGCUCAGACUCUGGAGUACACCACGAACCAUUUUACCUUCAUCCUCCCGCAGCCGCAGUGGAGACUGAGAGUAAACAGAAGAGUUCGAAGGACUCCUUCUUCCUGAACCCCCUCAAUGACCUCAAAGAAGCCUCGGAGAAACACAACAAAAACAAAAGGGAAUCGGCUACUUCCGGCGACAGUGAAGAUGAAAGGAAGUCGAAGGAUCCUUUCUAUCUUCACAAACCAGAAGCCGUGUCGUAUCACAGAGUCCAGGAGCUCUUCUGCAGCAAGAGUAGCAGAAGAAGUAGUGUAAAGAGCAGCGAGAGCAAGAGCCAUUCUUCCAAGAGAGGCAAAUCCUCCAAAGAAAACGGAGAGUCCCUUCGUCACCGAGAAAACGGAGCUUCCAAAGAAAACGGUCACUCCAGGAGAUGCGUAGAGAACGGGAAGACAGUCGGGGUGCAUGAAUAUGCAAAGCCUAAUGUCGAGAAGAAAAAAGGCAAAGUGGAUUAUGAGGGCAGAAAACUACCCAAGAUCCCGUCUCCGUCACCUGUCGCGAAUCCCACCAUGAAAGUGAAAGCUGACAUACACAGCAGUGACGACGCAGUCUCCACAGCUAGCAGCAGCAGCUGCCACGACCACCACUACGAGGACAUCGACCCUUCACUCAUGGUCAGGGCCGCUGCAGGAGACGCUCGCAUCAGGGACGCUGCCGCUGGCGACGGACGCACCAGGGACGCAGGUGCAGACGGACGUAGUAGGGAAGCCGGUGCAGACGGACGCACCAGGGACGCCGGUGAAGCUCGCACCAGGGACGCCGGUGGCGAAGGACGAAUCAGAGAGUCCACUCGCCGCGGACGGUCCUCCCCGAAGGACGCCAGUCAAAGAGACUCCUGCUCUUCCUCUUCGUCGCUGUCAUCGUCCAGAAGCGCUGACGAUGAAGGCAGGGAUGAGGCAGCCAGACAGAGGCAGCGUCUUCAGGGACUUGAUGACCUGAUCGCUGGAGUGCCCCCUCCUGACUACGACGACCGCCAGGCACCACUGGACGACGCAUCAGCCAGUCCUGACGUCCGCACCAGUGGUCUUCAAGACGACAUCCCUCCACCACCAGAAUUUGGUGAUGGGAGUGGCAGAAAUGUUAGCAGAGACUCUCCAGGGCGGCGCCAACUACACCCAACACUCUCGAUGCCCCCUACCUCGUCCAGUGGCAGCCAUCAUGGCCGUGCCCCGCUUACCCGCACCAACUCAGAACCUCCACCGCCACCUCCAAUGCCUAGCGCUACUCCCUCUCCAAAGACCUCACCCUCUUCCUCUCAUAGGAUGCCUCAAGAGGUUGAUAAUGUCUCCCUGGCCUCCUCCAAGCCCUCCUCGCCCAGGUCCACUCAUAACCCACUCGAGGAGAGGGAAGAUGAAGGCCCCAUUGAAGAGGGUGUAGUAAGGCCCUCUGAGUUUAUCAGGAGACAUUCUCAAAGAAGUGAAAAUGGAUCACUUAGAGGACACAAAAAGCUGGAUAGGCCCACAUCUCUUCCACUGGAUGUUGCAGAACAUUAUGGCAGAAUAAUGACUGAUGGUAAAGAUAGGGAUGCCGUAAGCUCAAAUGAGGAGCUCAGUCAGUCUCCACAACUAGGAAAGUCACAGAUGAAUGGAAAAUCCCUACCAUUCAUCCCUCCAAAGUUCCCUGUACAGCCAUCAGACUCUCUCCUUAUAAAACCUUCAGAAUACCUACGAUCUCUGGGAGGAAGUGUCAGUCGAUCCCCUUCAAAUGUCGAUAUUAAGCCUCCAAAUGGAUCAUCUCAUGUAAAUGAUACCACUCCACAUUUUGCUGAGAUUCCAGAUGUUGUCAACAGUGCUGCCCAAGUUGCUGUGCCACCUGCACCACUGCCGGCAAUUCCAGAAGCCACUGAAGAAGAACUAGCAAAGACCAGUGCGAAUACACCUCCUCCUCCCCCGGCUCCUCCUGCACCGCCAGCAUCAGCAACAAACACAUUGCCAAGUCGGAAUAACACCCUUACCAACGGCUCCAGCAGCAAAACAGUCUUACCCACAAUCAGUGUGACAGACCUGCAGAGUGUACAACUGAGGAAGAUAGAAAUCAAAGUUGCAAAGCCCACUUCAGUUCCUCUUCGAAUUCCCAUUACAGCUCCUGAAGCAGCUUUCACUACUGCAAAGAAUGAUGUUAUUGCUGAGCUAAAGAUGGGAGUUGAUAUCCCUGGCAUCAAAAAAUUGAAAUCAGAGCGUGCAAAGGAGGAAGAACUUCAUGAAAAAAUAGAGGAAAAAGAACUGAGUCGCCAAUUUUCUGCUGUAAAUUUUGUUGAUCAAGUGCCUGAAGUUGACAAUGCGGGAAAUAGAAUACCAGAAUGGAAACGCCAGAUGCUAGCACGGAAAGCUGCCGAGAAAGCUAAAAAAGAAGCUGAAGAAUCACGGUUACAGGAAGCUGAAGAGAGGCGUAUGCAAGCUAUUCCACCAUGGAAGAGACAACUCAUGACGAAGAAGGAUGAUGGAACAAUGCGUGACCGACCACUCACAGCACGCACGCAGUCUCCGGUCCGCAUCGCCCUGCACGUCAAGCACUAGAUUCUAGAAUAUCUGAGACAAUACACCACCAGUAUGUAAAGUGUAUUAAUAAAGUGCAAGAUAAAGUAUCAUCGCUAGACAGUGUGGUAGAUGUAUUAUACUUCUCAUUAAAGAAUCAAGGUUAAGAAUUUAUUUUUGCUUAAAAAAAAAAAAGGGGGUCCUGCAUACCAUGAACCAGUAUACCAACUACAGUGCUCCUCUAUUCUUACAUUAACUUACAAAAAAAAUUCAAGUUGCAUUAUUAAUAUUAAAGUAAAAGAUAUGAAUGCUUAAAGCAGAAUUCAGUAAACUUGUUUCAUAUUAGUAUACAUAUCUUCUCAUUCAGAGCAAUGUGGCUUGUAAAAUCUUUGCUGAAAUUUUUGAUGCAUUCUUAAAUUUUCAGUUGCCAAAAAUUUAUUAUUGACGCCCAAAGCAUUUCCUGAGAACAUUCUAAAGCUGUUUCCAAUUUACUUGCAUUCCAGGUUAGUGAAAGAGACAGAAAGCUAGUAAGCUCAUUGAGAAAAUAAGAAAAUUAAAACAAUAAUAAAUGUCCUCACACCUAUUGACAAUUAUUGUACUUAAAAACAACAACCAGCAAAAGUUGCUGUCAAGUUUAAAUAUAUAGCAGAUCCACCAUUGGAAGUGUAGCAUGAAUACAUAUGGAUUAAACAACUCCAAAUAGCAGAUGUUUUAUUUUAAUAUUGCUAAGUUUAUCAAAGUGACAAAAGGUUAAAAAAAAAAAAUCAGCAUUUAAAUUGGGUAUAAAGACUUGUAAUGUCAAACAUACCUGUUUUUUAGAUAACUUUUUACCCAGGAUUAAAGUUUCAGUUCAUCAAUCACAGGCAAGAAACAAAAUACUGUAAUACCAAGAAAGUGGCAAAAAAGUUGAUUACAUGAGAAAAGAGACUAGCAAGUAUUUAUUAAUGCAUAUGUAAUACAGCAAUAAAUAGUUUUAUUACACAUCUUGCACCCAUACUGUGGGCAGCACUUAUGUGAUUACAGUGGUUCACAGUAGAACUGGAGGUUGGGUCUCAAAAUUCUGUAGCAAUGAAACUACCUACAAGACAUGUUUUGUGGCUCAGUGGUAGCAUCUUCGGCUUUCAACCAAGGGGCCCUGGUUCGAUCCUGGGGAUAAUAUUCAUUGGAGAUGUUUAUUUACCACUGUUUAUAUGGCUGUAAAUAGGUACCUGGGUAUUAACACACUGUCAUAGGUAACAACCUGGGGAAGUGGAAAAAAGAACCUCAAUGGAAAUAAGUCACACUGAUUGACUGUCUGGUUACCCUGUGUUACUUAUCCUCUAGGUUAAUAAUCCAAAUCAAGUCUUCUUCAUUUUCAGUCACAAUAUGCAUGUAUAGUGAUGUACAGCAAGCUUGUAAGAGUUUAUAGAAUAUUUCAGUAAUGAAAUAUCUUUACAAGAUACCACCAGUUUAAAAAAAAUAUACAGGGAGUUUUAGUAAGUUAGCAUGGCAAUAUCCUAUAAAGAAUUGUGUGCAGCAAUAAUACAGUGGACCCCCGCCUUAGGAUAUAAUUUCAUUCCAGAAGUAUGUUCAGGUGCCGUUACCGAACAAAUUUGUUCCCAUAAGGAAUAUUGUGAAUUAGAUUGGACCGUUUCAGACCCCCAAAAAUACACAUACAAAAGCAC